rnacentral:rRNA from 1 species
ACGGCUCAGUAACACGUAGUCAACCUACCCUAUGGACAGGGAUAACCUCGGGAAACUGAGAAUAAUACCAGAUAGAACAUUAUGCCUGGAAUGGUUUAUGUUUCAAAUAAUUUAUUGCCGUAGGAUGGGACUGCGGCCUAUCAGUUUGUUGGUGAGGUAAUGGCCCACCAAGACUAUUACAGGUACGGGCUCUGAGAGGAGUAGCCCGGAGAUGGGUACUGAGACACGGACCCAGGCCCUAUGGGGCGCAGCAGGCGAGAAAACUUUGCAAUGUGCGAAAGCACGACAAGGUUAAUCCGAGUGGUUUCUGCUAAAGGAACCUUUUGACAGUCUUAGAACCACUGUUGAAUAAGGGGUGGGCAAGUUCUGGUGUCAGCCGCCGCGGUAAAACCAGCACCUCAAGUGGUCAGGAUGAUUAUUGGGCCUAAAGCAUCCGUAGCCUGCUUUGCAAGUUUUCGGUUAAAUCCAUACGCUCAACGUAUGGGCUGCCGGGAAUACUACAAAGCUAGGGAGUGGGAGAGGUAGACGGUACUCGGUAGGAAGGGGUAAAAUCCUUUGAUCUAUUGAUGACCACCUGUGGCGAAGGCGGUCUACCAGAACACGUCCGACGGUGAGGGAUGAAAGCUGGGGGAGCAAACCGGAUUAGAUACCCGGGUAGUCCCAGCUGUAAACUAUGCAAACUCGGUGAUGCAUUGGCUUGAUGCCAAUGCAGUGCCGCAGGGAAGCCGUUAAGUUUGCCGCCUGGGAAGUACGUACGCAAGUAUGAAACUUAAAGGAAUUGGCGGGGGAGCAC